ensembl:lncRNA
CCUGGUGAUUGAUAUGCAUGUGUGCGUAUGGGUGUUUGUUUGGUGGAUGACGUAUCACUAUGAUUUCAAGGCCAGAUGACUUUCUUUGAAGAGGACAAACGAGAGUUCGAAUGAGUGCAUGUGUGUGAGGUGAACUGGAUUGAUCAGGUCAUUGUAUGAAGGCCAACUUGAUAAAAAUGCAGGAAUACAAAGAUAGUCGUAAGUCUUGGCUCUGCAUGAUAUGCACUCUGUUCCAUUCCAGGGAAUUCCUUCUGAGAAGUUGGAUUUCUCUGUAUUCACCAUGUGGCACACAGACAGAACCCUCUCAUAGAGAUAGUUUCUCGAAUGCUCAAGCGUGUUGCAGGAAAUUUGGUUUUCAGGUAAUAGAAAAACACUCAUUUGUCUAAAUUCAUGCACUGCAUUUCUCUUACCCCACUGGCAAAUAGUUUUUUAAUGUAAUAUUACACUUCAUAAUUUGCCAAUGGGAAAAGAAAAAUCUUACGCUGCUUUGAUUCUCAUGUUAAUUUGCCUUGUUUGUCUUGUUUUCCACUAAAUAGUCUAAUACCAUUAGUAUUUAGAUUAUGUUAGUGGAAAACAAGACAAAAGUAUCGAUUAAAAAUCAUUUUCAAUGUGGAAAUUUAAACGUCAUUUCAUAAAGAUUCAGAAUGUCUGAUGACACAGCACAUGUUCAUUCAAUUUCAUUUUCAAUUUGAAUAUUCAAAAAAUGUGUUCUCGUUUCUUCUGGCUUUGUAUUCCCAGUUUGAAAAAAUCAAUUAAAAUCAUAUUAUUUUAAACAAAUCAUAAGCAAAUGCUGUUUGUAAUUUUAGAAAAUGUAGUUUUGUCAAAC